rnacentral:rRNA from 1 species
CCUACGGGGGGCAGCAGUAGGGAAUAUUGCUCAAUGGGGGAAACCCUGAUGCAGCAACGCCGCGUGGAUGAUGAAGGUCCUAGGCUCGUAAACCCCUGUUGUGAGAGAAGAUAAUGACGGUAUCUCACGAAGAAGCACCGGCUAACUCCGUGCCAGCAGCCGCGGUAAUACGUAGGGUGCAAGCGUUAUCCGGAUUUACUGGGUGUAAAGAGUGCGCAGGCGGGCAUGCAAGUCAGGAGUGAAAGCCCGGGGCUUAACUACAGGACUGCUUGUGAAACUGCGAGGCUGGAGUGUAGGAGAGGUAGGUGGAAUUCUUGGUGUAGGGGUGAAAUGCGUAGAUAUCAGGAGGAAUACUGGUUGCGAAGGCGGCCUGCUGGA